rnacentral:rRNA from 1 species
AGUGAACGCUGGCGGUAGGCCUAACACAUGCAAGUCGAACGGCAGCACAGUAAGAGCUUGCUCUUACGGGUGGCGAGUGGCGGACGGGUGAGGAAUACAUCGGAAUCUACUUUUUCGUGGGGGAUAACGUAGGGAAACUUACGCUAAUACCGCAUACGACCUACGGGUGAAAGCAGGGGAUCUUCGGACCUUGCGUGAUUGAAUGAGCUGAUGUCGGAUUAGCUAGUUGGCGGGGUAAAGGCCCACCAAGGCGACGAUCCGUAGCUGGUCUGAGAGGAUGAUCAGCCACACUGGAACUGAGACACGGUCCAGACUCCUACGGGAGGCAGCAGUGGGGAAUAUUGGACAAUGGGCGCAAGCCUGAUCCAGCCAUGCCGCGUGGGUGAAGAAGGCCUUCGGGUUGUAAAGCCCUUUUGUUGGGAAAGAAAAGCAGCAGGUUAAUACCCCGCUGUUCUGACGGUACCCAAAGAAUAAGCACCGGCUAACUUCGUG